rnacentral:rRNA from 1 species
UGCUUGCACUAAAUGAAACUAGAUACAAGCGAGCGGCGGACGGGUGAGUAACACGUGGGUAACCUGCCCAAGAGACUGGGAUAACACCUGGAAACAGAUGCUAAUACCGGAUAACAACACUAGACGCAUGUCUAGAGUUUGAAAGAUGGUUCUGCUAUCACUCUUGGAUGGACCUGCGGUGCAUUAGCUAGUUGGUAAGGUAACGGCUUACCAAGGCAAUGAUGCAUAGCCGAGUUGAGAGACUGAUCGGCCACAUUGGGACUGAGACACGGCCCAAACUCCUACGGGAGGCAGCAGUAGGGAAUCUUCCACAAUGGACGAAAGUCUGAUGGAGCAACGCCGCGUGAGUGAAGAAGGGUUUCGGCUCGUAAAGCUCUGUUGGUAGUGAAGAAAGAUAGAGGUAGUAACUGGCCUUUAUUUGACGGUAAUUACUUAGAAAGUCACGGCUAACUACGUGCCAGCAGCCGCGGUAAUACGUAGGUGGCAAGCGUUGUCCGGAUUUAUUGGGCGUAAAGCGAGUGCAGGCGGUUCAAUAAGUCUGAUGUGAAAGCCUUCGGCUCAACCGGAGAAUUGCAUCAGAAACUGUUGAACUUGAGUGCAGAAGAGGAGAGUGGAACUCCAUGUGUAGCGGUGGAAUGCGUAGAUAUAUGGAAGAACACCAGUGGCGAAGGCGGCUCUCUGGUCUGCAACUGACGCUGAGGCUCGAAAGCAUGGGUAGCGAACAGGAUUAGAUACCCUGGUAGUCCAUGCCGUAAACGAUGAGUGCUAAGUGUUGGGGAGGUUUCCGCCUCUCAGUGCUGCAGCUAAACGCAUUAAGCACUCCGCCUGGGGAGUACGACCGC